rnacentral:tRNA from 1 species
GGGGAUGUGGCACAGAGGUAGAGUUCUUGCCUUGCAUGCAUAAGAGUCUGGGUUGGAUUCCCAGCACCA